rnacentral:misc_RNA from 1 species
UCACCAUACAAGGCCUUGCGCAAUCCAGCGCACACUGCUGUAUUUCCCCAUUCAUAUCAAUACAAGGAUACUGGAGAUUCCUCAUUAGGACCCGGAGGUGACCUUAGGGUAUAUCUGGAACGAUUAGCUGAGGCUCGAAAUGUUCAAGAAUAUGUUGCACAAAAUCCAUUUGGUCAGCGAGCCAUUACAGAAUCAAAUCCUUCCUGGGGUUUCUAUCAGAAGAUUUUAAGUGCUGACUUGUACCAAUGACAAGAUGUUGCUAGUAUACAGUAGUUAUGACACUGGGCAAUAGUGAUCGAUUUUGAAUGACCUGCAAAACACUUGCGUCUUUUGGCCCUGAGUGAUGUAAUUCAAUUUGCUUCUAAGGGCUGGAUUGAUGUUGCAGAAUGCGGUGCAUUUUUUCUCAAGUCAGUUCAGUUGCGUGGAAAACCAGAAACAUGUUUCCGGCUGAAUUAUGGAAGAUUGCUAUUGUGACUGCUGUUAUUUUGAUAACCAUGCAGAAUAGUGAUCUGGUUUUCGUCAACCUUAAGAUGAGCAACAUUUUUGUUUCUUGUGCUUUAGGCUGUUUUUUUUUUGGCCUAAUUUUUUUCUCAAGAUUUAUGUAUCUUCAUUGGCAAUUAUUAGGUCUCACGGCAUGAUGUAUUGCUGAGCAAACAACUCUGAAUAGAGACGAGACCAUUUUAUUGCCAAUGAAG